GAUGAACGCUGGCGGCGUGCCUAAUACAUGCAAGUCGAGCGAAUGGAUUAAGAGCUUGCUCUUAUGAAGUUAGCGGCGGACGGGUGAGUAACACGUGGGUAACCUGCCCAUAAGACUGGGAUAACUCCGGGAAACCGGGGCUAAUACCGGAUAACAUUUUGAGCCGCAUGGUUCGAAAUUGAAAGGCGGCUUCGGCUGUCACUUAUGGAUUGACCCGCGUCGCAUUAGCUAGUUGGUGAGGUAACGGCUCACCAAGGCAACGAUGCGUAGCCGACCUGAGAGGGUGAUCGGCCACACUGGGACUGAGACACGGCCCAGACUCCUACGGGAGGCAGCAGUAGGGAAUCUUCCGCAAUGGACGAAAGUCUGACGGAGCAACGCCGCGUGAGUGAUGAAGGCUUUCGGGUCGUAAAACUCUGUUGUUAGGGAAGAACAAGUGCUAGUUGAAUAUGCUGGCACCUUGACGGUACCUAACCAGAAAGCCACGGCUAACUACGUGCCAGCCGCCGCAGUAA
rnacentral:rRNA from 1 species